AACGCACAUUGCGCCCGCCAGUAUUCUGGCGGGCAUGCCUGUUCGAGCGUCAUUUCAACCCUCGAGCCCCCCCGGGGGCUCGGCGUUGGGGACCGGCCCCGCCCCGUCGCGGGUCGCCGCCCCCUAAAUACAGUGGCGGUCCCGCCGCAGCCUCCUCUGCGUAGUAGCACCUACCUCGCACCGGAAGAGCGGCGCGGCCACGCCGUAAAACCCCCCACUUUCUGAAAGGUUGACCUCGGAUCAGGUAGGAAUACCCGCUGAACUUAA
rnacentral:misc_RNA from 1 species